GGGGGGGGGGGGGGGGGGGGGGGGGGCGUGCAGGGCGAGCGGGGAGGCCCGGCGGGGGGGGGGUGCUCGAGUGGCGAACGGGUGAGGAACACGUGAGUAACCUGCCCUUGACUUUGGGAUAACUUCAGGAAACUGGGGCUAAUACCGGAUAGGAGCUCCUGCUGCAUGGUGGGGGUUGGAAAGUUUCGGCGGUUGGGGAUGGACUCGCGGCUUAUCAGCUUGUUGGUGGGGUAGUGGCUUACCAAGGCUUUGACGGGUAGCCGGCCUGAGAGGGUGACCGGCCACAUUGGGACUGAGAUACGGCCCAGACUCCUACGGGAGGCAGCAGUGGGGAAUAUUGCACAAUGGGCGGAAGCCUGAUGCAGCAACGCCGCGUGCGGGAUGACGGCCUUCGGGUUGUAAACCGCUUUCGCCUGUGACGAAGCGUGAGUGACGGUAAUGGGUAAAGAAGCACCGGCUAACUACGUG
rnacentral:rRNA from 1 species